AUUGAACGCUGGCGGCAGGCCUAACACAUGCAAGUCGAGCGGAUGAAGGGAGCUUGCUCCUGGCUUCAGCGGCGGACGGGUGAGUAAUGCCUAGGAAUCUGCCUGGUAGUGGGGGAUAACGUCCGGAAACGGGCGCUAAUACCGCAUACGUCCUGAGGGAGAAAGUGGGGGAUCUUCGGACCUCACGCUAUCAGAUGAGCCUAGGUCGGAUUAGCUAGUUGCUGGGGUAAAGGCCUACCAAGGCGACGAUCCGUAACUGGUCUGAGAGGAUGAUCAGUCACACUGGAACUGAGACACGGUCCAGACUCCUACGGGAGGCAGCAGUGGGGAAUAUUGGACAAUGGGCGAAAGCCUGAUCCAGCCAUGCCGCGUGUGUGAAGAAGGUCUUCGGAUUGUAAAGCACUUUAAGUUGGGAGGAAGGGCAGUAAGUUAAUACCUUGCUGUUUUGACGUUACCAACAGAAUAAGCACCGGCUAACUUCGUG
rnacentral:rRNA from 1 species